UACGGAGGGUGCGAGCGUUGUUCGGAAUCACUGGGCGUAAAGGGCGUGUAGGCGGUCCGUUAAGUCUGAUGUGAAAGCCCGGGGCUCACCCCCGGAAGUGCAUUGGAAACUGGCGGACUCGAGUCCCGGAGAGGAGAGUGGAAUUCCUGGUGUAGCGGUGAAAUGCGUAGAUAUCAGGAGGAACACCGGUGGCGAAGGCGGCUCGCUGGACCGGAACUGACGCUGAGGCGCGAAAGCGUGGGGAGCAAACAGG
rnacentral:rRNA from 1 species